rnacentral:rRNA from 1 species
UGGGGAAUUUUGGACAAUGGGCGAAAGCCUGAUCCAGCAAUGCCGCGUGUGUGAAGAAGGCCUUCGGGUUGUAAAGCACUUUUGUCCGGAAAGAAAUCCUUGGCUCUAAUACAGUCGGGGGAUGACGGUACCGGAAGAAUAAGCACCGGCUAACUACGUGCCAGCAGCCGCGGUAAUACGUAGGGUGCAAGCGUUAAUCGGAAUUACUGGGCGUAAAGCGUGCGCAGGCGGUUUGCUAAGACCGAUGUGAAAUCCCCGGGCUCAACCUGGGAACUGCAUUGGUGACUGGCAGGCUAGAGUAUGGCAGAGGGGGGUAGAAUUCCACGUGUAGCAGUGAAAUGCGUAGAGAUGUGGAGGAAUACCGAUGGCGAAGGCAGCCCCCUGGGCCAAUACUGACGCUCAUGCACGAAAGCGUGGGGAGCAAAACAGGAUUAGAUACCCCUGGUAGUCCACGCCCUAAACGAUGUCAACUAGUUGUUGGGGAUUCAUUUCCUUAGUAACGUAGCUAACGCGU